CCUACGGGAGGCAGCAGUGAGGAAUAUUGGACAAUGGACGGAAGUCUGAACCAGCCAUGCCGCGUGCAUGAAGACGGCUCUAUGAGUUGUAAACUGCUUUUGUACAAGGGUAAACCUGAAUACGUGUAUUCAGCUGAAAGUCCAGUUCGAAUAAGGCUCGGCUAAAUCCCUGCCAGCAGCCGCGGUAAUCCGGAGGAUCCAAGCGUUAUCCGGAAUUAUUGGGUUUAAAGGGUGGGUAGGCGGAUUGAUAAGUUAGAGGUGAAAUGUUCGAGCUUACACCGGGAACUGCCUCUAAUACUGUUGAUCUAGAGAGUAGAUGCGGUAGGCGGAAUGUAUGGUGUAGCGGUGAAAUGCGUAGAGAUCAGACAGAACACCGAUUGCGAAGGCAGCUUACCAGUCUAUAUCUGACGUUGAGGCACGAAAGCGUGGGGAGCAAACAGGAUUAGAUACCCCAGUAGUC
rnacentral:rRNA from 1 species